rnacentral:rRNA from 1 species
AUUGAACGCUGGCGGCAUGCCUAACACAUGCAAGUCGAACGGCAGCACAGCAGUAGCAAUACUGUGGGUGGCGAGUGGCGGACGGGUGAGGAAUACGUCGGAAUCUGCCCAGUCGUGGGGGAUAACUAGCCGAAAGGUUAGCUAAUACCGCAUACGACCGAGAGGUGAAAGCGGGGGACCGCAAGGCCUCGCGCGAUUGGAUGAGCCGACGUCGGAUUAGCUAGUUGGCAGGGUAAAGGCCCACCAAGGCGACGAUCCGUAGCUGGUCUGAGAGGAUGAUCAGCCACACUGGAACUGAGACACGGUCCAGACUCCUACGGGAGGCAGCAGUGGGGAAUAUUGGACAAUGGGCGCAAGCCUGAUCCAGCAAUGCCGCGUGUGUGAAGAAGGCCUUCGGGUUGUAAAGCACUUUUAUCUAGAACGAAAAGACGUUCGGAUUAAUAACU